AGCAAAUGAAAACAGUUCAGGCGUACGCUGAAAAGGCAAUAAGAGUGUUUACAGGAGGAGAGACGCAGACAAAUCACCCAAUAGAGCGGCGCGGGGAUGACGUCAUUCUGUACCAAAACCCGGAAGUUAUCAUCAGGAGGAUAAAGCGAGGCUCGCCGCUCAAGCGCUAAAACGCUAAGGGUUUUUGGCGUACAAAAUGAUGUCAUCCCUGCACCACUUUCUGGUGACUGGCUGUAAGUUUAGGAAGCACUUGAACUGAUUUGCAGCGGAGUUUUCUAUGAGCGGAGGACGAACUUUAAACGUCAAUAUCGCAGUCGAUCGCGUUCAUUUAAUCGUGGGCAGUCAAAAUCGCAAUCGCCAUCGAUAUCCGAUUAAUUGUGCGGCGCUACCUAAAACCAAGAAAUAACCUCCUAAACCACACGGGACACCGGUUACACUUUUGUGCAUUACAUAGCGCAAGUAAUGUAGUUAAUGUUAGACAGAUUUCAGGCAAGAGAGGAAGACUGAGAGAGAGAGAGAGAGAGAGAGAGAGAGAGAGAGAGAGAGAGAAAGGCAGAGGGAAAGAGAAAGAGAGAGAGAAAAAGGGAGACAAAAGAGCUGCUGACACAGACACGAGAAAGAUACAGAGAAAGACAGACCAUCAGAGAUGGAUAUAUAAUGACCGAUAUAAAGAGAAAGAGAGAGAGAGAGCGACAGAUAGAGAGAAAGAUGGAUAUAGAGAAUGAUAAAGACAGAGAAACAGAGUCAGAAACAGAGUCAAAGAUAAAUAGAUAGAUAGACAGAUAGCAAGAGAUAGAGAGACAGAUAGACAGACAAACAGACAGUGAUAGAUAGACAGAGUGAAAGUCAGAGAGUGAGAGAGAUAGAUAGAUAGAGACAGAGACAGAUAUAUAGCUAAAGACAGAUAGAGAGACAGUGAGAGAGUGAGAUAGAUAUAGAUAGAAAUAGUGACAGAGACAGAGUGAGAGAAAUAGAUGGAUAGACAGAUAAUGAGAGAGACAGACAGAUAGAGGCAGUGAGAGUGAGACAGAUAGAUAGUGACAGAGAGGCAGUGAGAGUGAGACAGAGAGGCAGUGAGAGUGAGACAGAGAGGCAGUGAGACAGAGAGGCAGUGAGAGUGAGACAGAGAGGCAGUAAAAGUGAGAUAUAUAGAUAGAUGCAGUGAGACAGAUAGAUAGAUGAGAGACCGUGAGAGAGAGGCAGUUAGAAAGAAAGCCAGAUCGAGAGAAAGACAGUUAAAGACAGAGAGAGAAACACUGCAAUCUGAUGACGCAGCGCUACAAAGUAAACAAGCUUUACUACUUCCUCAAUGCACAGAGGAAAAACAUGUCAAAACACGAGCGAAGGAAAACCGGAUCAAACCCAACAAUGAACAUUUCUUUAUUCUUUCUUUAUCAUUUCACAACCACAACCCCCGACAUUACCGAGUUUAAACCCCCAGCAGCGCUGAACCUCCGUUUCCUGCUCCCCAGAAACACCAGUGAGCUUAGCGUUAGCAUAGCGCCGAACACAACAGCAACAAGACACAGCGCGUGAACGUUACCAUUUCCUCUCUCGCUACAGUGUAACACUUCCUCCCACUCUCACUCUCAACACUUCACUCAACACCGACACACUGCACCCCUGUCUUCAUGUCCUGAACACUGUCUUCAUGUCCUCUCCGCUUCCCAAUCACAGAAUGAGUGUGAGUGUGUGAGUGUGUGUGUGUGUGUGAGGAAGAUUUUCAGGAUCUCCUCCUCGCGCCUCUGUCGCUCCAUACAGUGGUUCAUUUAACCUGAUUUAAUCAUCUAUCACCUCACAUCACACACCGCAAAUCACCACACACACUCUCACACUCUCUCUCUACAUGCACUCGGAGAAAGAUUAGAAACAUUAGUGACGAGAGAAACGGAGAAAUCUUCCAUCUUACCCAGGCGGUGCAGGAUUUCAAAAUGGUCGGUCUACUUCCGCUCUUCAUUCUUUACACACACACACACACACACACACACACACACACACACACACACACACAGAGAGAGAGAGAGAGAGAGAGAGAGAGAGAGAGAGAUUUACACUUUGAUAUUCCAUUCAUGGUGUGCAUACACUAGAUAGAUAGAUAGAUACACAGACAGACAGGUAGAUUAUUUUAUUAAUAAUUUAUUAAUUACGUCACAAACUCUUAUGUACAUAUCUUUCAACAUAGAGCUUCUCUGUAGCACCAAAUUUCAUUUUUCAGUCCUUCAUGUAAUUUGUAGGUGUGUGAGAAAGACAGUGAGUGUGUGUGUGCACCAGAGAGAGAGAGAGAGAGAGAGAGAGAGAGAGAGAGAGAGAGAGAGAGAGAGAGAGAGAGCGCUGCUGAUUCACUGAACCACUUGAUCCUGAUCAGGAUCGCAGUAGAUCCUGAGAACAUGAUGUGAGGUGGGAAUACACCCUGCAUGAGAUGCCAGUCCGUCACAGGGCAUCACACACACACAAUUUCAAGUACUUCAGUGGCAUGACUGUUUACAUGCAAUAUUGCCAAAGCAUCAACACAGAUAAGAAAGGAAUUCUAAAGAAUUCCUAAGAAAAAUAAAAGAUUAAAGAUUUUUUAAA
ensembl:lncRNA